rnacentral:rRNA from 1 species
GAUGAACGCUAGCGGCAGGCCUAACACAUGCAAGUCGAACGCGUGUAGCAAUACACGAGUGGCGCACGGGUGAGUAACGCGUGGAUAUCUGCCUUUUGGUUCGGAAUAACUCCGGGAAACUGGAGCUAAUACCGGAUGGUUCCUACGGGAUAAAGAUUUAUCGCCAUAAGAUGAGUCCGCGUACGAUUAGCUAGCCGGUGAGGUAAUGGCUCACCAAGGCGACGAUCGUUAGCUGGUCUGAGAGGACGAUCAGCCACACUGGGACUGAGACACGGCCCAGACUCCUACGGGAGGCAGCAGUGGGGAAUAUUGGACAAUGGGGGCAACCCUGACCCAGCCAUGCCGCGUGAGUGAUGAAGGCCUUCGGGUUGUAAAGCUCUUUUGGCGGGGACGAUGAUGACGGUACCCGCGGAAUAAGCCCCGGCUAACUUCGUGCCAGCCGCCGCCGUAACAC